GACGAACGCUGGCGGCGUGCUUAACACAUGCAAGUCGAACGGAAAGGCCCUGCUUUUGUGGGGUGCUCGAGUGGCGAACGGGUGAGUAACACGUGAGUAACCUGCCCUUGACUUUGGGAUAACUUCAGGAAACUGGGGCUAAUACCGGAUAGGUGCUCCUGCUGCAUGGUGGGGGUUGGAAAGUUUCGGCGGUUGGGGAUGGACUCGCGGCUUAUCAGCUUGUUGGUGGGGUAGUGGCCUACCAAGGCUUUGACGGGUAGCCGGCCUGAGAGGGUGACCGGCCACAUUGGGACUGAGAUACGGCCCAGACUCCUACGGGAGGCAGCAGUGGGGAAUAUUGCACAAUGGGCGGAAGCCUGAUGCAGCAACGCCGCGUGCGGGAUGACGGCCUUCGGGUUGUAAACCGCUUUCGCCUGUGACGAAGCGUGAGUGACGGUAAUGGGUAAAGAAGCACCGGCUAACUACGUG
rnacentral:rRNA from 1 species